rnacentral:lncRNA from 1 species
CUUGCUAUAAUUUUCAUAUAUUUUAUAUACUACUCCCUCCAUCCUAAAUAUAAGAGAUCUAAAGUUUAAAAUUAGUACAAAAAUAUAAUGUAUUUUUGUUUCUCAAACACCUCUCUCCUCCAUUUCUUAGUGCAUCUCCAGAAGUUUGGUAAAAUAACUUCCUAUCUUAUUUGUUAGCAAAAGAGAAAAAAAACUCCUCCA